rnacentral:lncRNA from 1 species
GAUUCCAGGAAGCCCUGGAAUGCCUUAGCUUAGCUUAGGGUCAGAUUUUAUGUGGAUCAUUCAGGGAGCUCUGGAAUGAGCACAACAGAGGGGAGCAAGUCUAGAAACCAGGAGGCCACUUAGGAGGUUGUUGAAUUAGUUCAGGCAAGAGAAGGUGCAUUUGAGAUAAGGUAGCUGUGGUAGGAGUGGAGUAGAAAGGAUGGAUUUGAGGGGCCAGACUAUGGCUGAGUGGUUAAGUUCAUGUGCUCCGCUUCAGCAGCCCAGGAUUCCCCAGUUCAGAUCCUGGGCGUGGACCUGACACUGCUCAUCAAGCCUUGCUGAGGCAGCAUCCCACAUGGCAGAGCCAGAAGGACCUACAACUAGAAUAUGCAACUAUGUACUGGGGGGCUUUGGGGAGAGAGAAGAAGAAGAAGAAAAGAAGAUUGGCAACAGAUGCUAGCUCAGGUGCCAAUUUUUAAAAAAAGUGUUGCCUCAAAAAAAAUUAAAAAAAAAAAAGAAAGCAUGAAUUUGAGAAGCCCACAGGAGGGGAAGGCAUCAGGAUACAUCAGGAUGUAAUGAUCAGUUGGAUGAAGAGGGUGAGGAAGAGAGAAAAGUCAAGGCUCACAUUUUAUAACUGUGGUCACUGGGUAACGAGAAGGCGACACAACAAACAGAGAGAUUGAGGUUGGAGGGGAGUGCUACUUACUUUUGGAGAAGUCAAAUCUGAAAUAUCUGAAGAGUACCUGAGUGAAGGUGCCUGGCAGGAACUGAAAUGUAUAGGAAGACAAACAUUGGAAAAUGUCCAUUGGAUUUUGUAAUUGGAAGAACACUGAUGGCCUUAACAGGAGCAGAAGCCGGAUCGCAGCAGGAGUCUCCAAAGAAUGAACAAGCCAGCCUUUGUGUUGUGUUUCCCGCUCUUCCCUCGAAGCGCUGGAAUGACUUUUGUGCUCCUGAGGUUGAAAGCAAGUUUCUGGGACACCAGGGUGCCACCUCCCUCCAAGGUUUUUCUUUGAAGUGGUUAUUUAGUUGAGAUCCCACAGAUGGUCAUUAAACAGCUAUGGGUGACUAUGUUCAUACCUGAGGAAGUGGAGACAGAACUGAUACUAAAGUUGAAGGAGGUGAAUGACAAGAGCCUGGGGGUGACUUUUCUGGAAUAAAAAAAGAGGCCAGUGGUAGCAAGUUGUGCAAGUGGCUGAAAGCCAGGCCCUUCCUUGAAGCAGUUCCUUGAAGGCAGCAGGAUCUCUGAAGAGGCGGCAUAUGGGUGUGAGGGGUCCUGAGCUCUCCAGUCAUGAGAACCUGGCCAUCCUGCCAGAGCUGGGCCCAGGGUGGAAUGAGGUGGAAUGGCAUGGGGAAUGGAGCCUCCAGCCUGAAAUGGAUUAUUCUGGCCCAGAUAAUAAACAGCUAAGCAGUGACUGUGAUAGACUGGAGAAGGAAGAUCUUUCCUCAAAUUUUCUGGACAAUUCUCCAGGGAUGUCUGACAGCCCCUGAAGAGAAGGGGUUCCAAUAAUGACUGCCAAUGAGUAUUGCCACUCUUGAGAGAGAAUCUUGAAAUUGAAUUUAAAAAUAAAAUAAAAUAAAAUA